rnacentral:rRNA from 1 species
GUGUCAGCCGCCGCGGUAAUACCGGCAGUCCGAGUGAUGGCCGAUCUUAUUGGGCCUAAAGCGUCCGUAGCUGGCCACGCAAGUCCAUCGGGAAAUCCACCUGCCCAACAGGUGGGCGCCCGGUAGAAACUGCGUGGCUUGGGACCGGAAGGCGCGACGGGUACGUCCGGGGUAGGAGUGAAAUCCCGUAAUCCUGGACGGACCACCGGUGGCGAAAGCGCCUCUGGAAGACGGAUCCGACGGUGAGGGACGAAAGCUCGGGUCACGAACCGGAUUAGAUACCCCGGUAGUCC